rnacentral:rRNA from 1 species
UGGGGAAUCUUCCGCAAUGGGCGAAAGCCUGACGGAGCAACGCCGCGUGAGUGAAGACGGCCUUCGGGUUGUAAAACUCUGUGAUUCGGGACGAAAGAUAAGCAGACGAAUAAUCUGCAUAAGUGACGGUACCGAAAAAGCAAGCCACGGCUAACUACGUGCCAGCAGCCGCGGUAAUACGUAGGUGGCAAGCGUUGUCCGGAAUUAUUGGGCGUAAAGCGCGCGCAGGUGGUUUAGAAAGUCUGAUGUGAAAGCCCACGGCUCAACCGUGGAGGGUCAUUGGAAACUAAUAAACUUGAGUGCAGGAGAGAAAAGUGGAAUUCCUAGUGUGGCGGUGAAAUGCGUAGAGAUUAGGAGGAACACCGGUGGCGAAGGCGGCUUUUUGGCCUGCAACUGACACUGAGGCGCGAAAGCGUGGGGGGCAAACAGG